UUUGCGUGCAAUUGUAUAGAGAUUUUAAUUAAUAUUCCGACAUAAAUCAUUUAUAAUAGUUAUCAGACUUUCAGGUCGCUAAAUCUUCAGCUUUGAGUGUAGUGUUUUCUUCUUAUUCUUCCUAGCUAAUGACUUGAUUCUUAAAAGAAUGUUAUAAGUCCACUAGACUACCUUUUACGUUUUUUGUGUGUGUCUAUUUUGUUGUCUGCUUUUUUUAACUUUCGCACGACGGUAAAAUGCACAUUGUUCAUUUAAGUAAAACUGAUACCUUCCAAAUUAAUAUCACGGCACGUGUUUAUGUUAAAUAUCUUGUGCAAGUUUCUAUUGCUUUAUAAUAGUGAGAUAGUUUCCGGCAACAGUCCUGUAGAGAUAAUCUACUCCCAACAUACUGAUCCAGAUAAAGUCCCCCUGAGAUAAUACAGCGUAUUCUCUAUCAUGUUUUUUUUUUCAUGCAUAUUUCGCUGUAGCGACUAUAUCGUACACAAAUCAAUGAACUGAAACGCUGACGAACAAUCGAAUCAGGGCGGCUACUUCUGGUUUGUAAGUUAAAUGAAAGAUGCACUGUAUAUAUUCCACUUCUUUGUAUGUAUAAGUUUGCACUAUUCUCUUCCAAUGCAAUAAAUGUCUCUUGGGGUUGAACCCAUAUUAAAUUUAAAAUAUUUGAUGCAUCAACACUUUGAAUGUGUUCCCAUCUGAUAUGAAGAUAUACUGUAUGUACCUUUUCCAGACAAAUCCAACAGGCAGAUUGUUUUGCCUGAAUUGUCACUAUUCGUUUUAUACCUUGUAAUGUUCGAUUGACGUAAACAUGGAUGGGAACUGCAAGAUUAGAUGGCUUAAUGCAGCUGCAAAACAUUUGUUUUUAAUUUAGUUAAUGUUUUAGCUGUACAUGUAUAACCAGGUUCAUUGCUGUCUAAAUGCAUAACCUCGAAAACUCGGUGAAAAGAUGAUCAGUUAUUUAUAUAUAUUUGGUAAUAACGAGACGAUUGUUAGCUUUGCUUUUAUAAAUUUGAUUCAUGCCCAUCACACUAACCCAUAUCUUGUCUCCUUCCCAUAGAGGAAAAACACCUUUGAUAGAAACAGUAAAUGCUGUAUUUGGAAGUGACCUUUGACGCUGACAUUGGAUCUCAUAUCGGUUAGUUUUAAGGCAAAUAAGUGAAAUGUAUCUCAAUGAUACGUUUGGUGCAUUUCCCGUUAACCUUGGUAUGUCGAUAUUUAAAGACAAGUACAACCCAUAUGUUCCAUUAUGGUUGAUAUUAAUGAUAUCCUUUUUUACAUCUAUAAAUUUGUUUUGCUCUACUGGACACCAUGUUAUAUUAACAUUUUGUUUUGUCACAUUUUUG
rnacentral:lncRNA from 1 species